AUUGAACGCUGGCGGCAUGCCUUACACAUGCAAGUCGAACGGUAACGGGCCUUCGGGUGCCGACGAGUGGCGAACGGGUGAGUAAUGCAUCGGAACGUACCUUUCAGUGGGGGAUAACGUAGCGAAAGUUACGCUAAUACCGCAUAUUCUGUGAGCAGGAAAGCAGGGGAUCGCAAGACCUUGCGCUGAUUGAGCGGCCGGUGUCAGAUUAGCUAGUUGGUGAGGUAAAGGCUCACCAAGGCGACGAUCUGUAGCGGGUCUGAGAGGAUGAUCCGCCACACUGGAACUGAGACACGGUCCAGACUCCUACGGGAGGCAGCAGUGGGGAAUUUUGGACAAUGGGGGCAACCCUGAUCCAGCCAUGCCGCGUGAGUGAAGAAGGCCUUCGGUUGUAAGACUCUUUCGGCCGGGACGGAAAUCGUAUGGGC
rnacentral:rRNA from 1 species